AGUGAGUGGCCCUCUCCAGGGUCAUGGGAACUGCUCUGGGGAAACUGGAAAAUCCAGUUGCCGUGGUCUCUUGGUGCCCCCCAACACUGGUGCUAAGGAGCCAGGGUAAAGAGAGUCUGUUUUCACACACCUCUACUGGCGCUGGAGAAGUGAGGCGGCCACCAUGGAGCCUUCGAUGUGCCUCUUCCUCCUCCUGACCCUCCUCUGCAGCUCACUCGCAGGUGAGGCUGGAGGGUGGACGCCUAGAUCCCUGACAUGAACAGGGAGAGGAGGAGAGGAGAGUCUCUGGUUCUGAGUCCCUGUUCUGAGAGUUGAUGGGACAGCGGUGGAGGAAAGGGAGUCUGGAAAGGAGGUGGAACACACGUCGCCCCCCUGGGAGGGGUCACGUGACCCUGACUGGAGGUCCUGAGCCACACGUUGCUGUUCCCAGGGCCAACAAAGGUGACUUUGCAAGUAAAACUGACCGAGGCAUCUCAGGCCAAGACCUCCCAAGACUCCGGCUUUCUGGACAUGCUCCAAAAGGUAGUUUUUAGGAAGCAGGAUGGGGGUGGGGGUGGGAGCCGUGUUGCAUGCUUCUCUGGGUGCCUGCAGGUCUCUGCUGGGAUGGGGGUGGCUGAGUUAAGCAGGGAGUGGGGUUACCAUCUUAGACCUCAUCCUCCAUUCAUGUUUUUGUCCCCCAGAUCUGCCUCCUCCUCCACCUCUCACCGGGGACCAAUGUCACCCUUCAUCAUAAAGGGCCACCACACCACCUUACCUGCAGAGCCUGAGAGCAGCUGAAGCCUGCGUGGGCCUGGAGCGGUCAGCCUUUGGGGAGUGAGCAUGCCUUGGACCUAGCAGGCCCUUGUCCCGCUGCAGGCUAAUAAACGUGGAAUUCAGUGAUUUC
rnacentral:lncRNA from 1 species